rnacentral:piRNA from 1 species
CAGAAAUCCACCUGCCUCUU